GAUGAACGCUGGCGGCGUGCCUAAUACAUGCAAGUCGAGCGAACAGACGAGGAGCUUGCUCCUCUGACGUUAGCGGCGGACGGGUGAGUAACACGUGGAUAACCUACCUAUAAGACUGGGAUCACUUCGGGAAACCGGCGCUAAUCCCGGAUAAUAUAUUGAACCGCAUGGUUCAAUAGUGAAAGACGGUUUUGCUGUCACUUAUAGAUGGAUCCCGGCCGCAUUAGCUAGUUGGUAAGGUAACGGCUUACCAAGGCAACGAUGCGUAGCCGACCUGAGAGGGUGAUCGGCCACACUGGAACUGAGACACGGUCCAGACUCCUACGGGAGGCAGCAGUAGGGAAUCGUCCGCAAUGGGCGAAAGCCUGACGGAGCAACGCCGCGUGAGUGAUGAAGGUCUUCGGAUCGUAAAACUCUGUUAUUAGGGAAGAACAAAUGUGUAAGUAACUAUGCACGUCUUGACGGUACCUAGUCAGAAAGCCACGGCUAACUACGUG
rnacentral:rRNA from 1 species